rnacentral:rRNA from 1 species
GACGAACGCUGGCGGCGUGCCUAAUACAUGCAAGUUGAGCGCUGAAGGUUGGUACUUGUACCGACUGGAUGAGCAGCGAACGGGUGAGUAACGCGUGGGGAAUCUGCCUUUGAGCGGGGGACAACAUUUGGAAACGAAUGCUAAUACCGCAUAAAAACUUUAAACACAAGUUUUAAGUUUGAAAGAUGCAAUUGCAUCACUCAAAGAUGAUCCCGCGUUGUAUUAGCUAGUUGGUGAGGUAAAGGCUCACCAAGGCGAUGAUACAUAGCCGACCUGAGAGGGUGAGCGGCCGCAUUGGGACUGAGACACGGCCCAAACUCCUACGGGAGGCAGCAGUAGGGAAUCUUCGGCAAUGGACGAAAGUCUGACCGAGCAACGCCGCGUGAGUGAAGAAGGUUUUCGGAUCGUAAAACUCUGUUGGUAGAGAAGAACGUUGGUGAGAGUGGAAAGCUCAUCAAGUGACGGUAACUACCCAGAAAGGGACGGCUAACUACGUG